GCCUCCACCACACAGCCACCUGUCCACCGUCCCCACCUGUUUCCCCAACACCACCGGCCUUGGCCGAGCACCCGCGGUGUGCUGGGGACACCCCUGGGGACAGAAAACGCUGCAUGUGCCCCCCAGGCCCAGAGCUGCCCCGGGUGGCGUCCUGCAGCCUGCGCGACAGGGACAGGGCGCCCGUUGGCUCAGAGGACUUGGGGUCACCUGGGGGAGGACCCUGCUGGUCUUGAGGGCAGCGUUAGGAAAGGUUCCUGGAGGAGAUGACCCAGGGAGCCUAGGGGACCCUGGAGGAGUCUCCCAGUCCCGGGUGCCCAGCUGGAGAGGUGGCAGGUCCCCGGGGCACGGUGGGCAGGGGGACUAGUGAGAUGUCAUCUGGUGUCCAGGGCCUGCCUGGGUUCUGGGGAGAGGAAGGGCCCCUGCUGGGCGUCCUGCCGCCUGAGCCGUGUGGCCAGCUCCUGGGGGUGCAGCUGCUCCUGGCACAGCUGUCCAGUCGUCCCAGGACAGGGUCGUCCCGGGACAGGGCCAUGCUCCUGUCCAGCACCAGCAGCCGGGGAGCCUGGCCCAGGAGUUGGGCCAGAGCCAGGAUGUGGUGCCCGACCUGUUGGUGGGGGAGGGGCGAGGGCGGGGUGAGUGGAAGGUGGCACCGACCUGCGGGACGGCAUUGUGGCUGCAGGCUCACCUUGUAGGUCACAGGUGUGUGCUACGGCAACCUGAAGGCGGCUCCAACAAACCCCAGCACGGCCCUACCAGAGCCUGUCCCCAAGAGUGGGGGUGGGGGGGACAGCGCCCGGGGACCAACAGGAGGCAGAGCCAGGUGGCAGGGGCACUGUGCCAAGAGCUGUGGAACUGUCCGUCCUGAGGAGACCACCAGGAAAGUCCCGAUGCAGGGCCACACCAGGCUCCUGACAGCCCCAAAUGUCCAGGGCCUCAGAAGCAAGGACAGUCUGAGAAGUGACCACAGCCCACAGGAGCCAAGGGGACGUGAGCACUGAUGUCAUGUGGGACCUGAUGGGGCCCAGACAGGGGAC
rnacentral:lncRNA from 1 species